rnacentral:rRNA from 1 species
GACGAACGCUGGCGGCGUGCUUAACACAUGCAAGUCGAACGAAGCUGCAUGACGGAACCCUUCGGGGGGAAGAUUUGUAGACUGAGUGGCGGACGGGUGAGUAACGCGUGAGCAACCUACCUUGCAACGGGGGACAACAGUUGGAAACGACUGCUAAUACCGCAUAAGACCACGGAGUCGCAUGGCUCUGAGGUAAAAGGAUUUAUUCGAUGCAAGAUGGGCUCGCGUCCCAUUAGAUAGUUGGUGAGGUAACGGCUCACCAAGUCAGCGAUGGGUAGCCGACCUGAGAGGGUGAUCGGCCACACUGGAACUGAGACACGGUCCAGACUCCUACGGGAGGCAGCAGUGGGGAAUAUUGGGCAAUGGGCGCAAGCCUGACCCAGCAACGCCGCGUGAAGGAAGAAGGCCUUCGGGUUGUAAACUUUUGUCCUUGGGGACGAAACAAAUGACGGUACCCAAGGAGGAAGCUCCGGCUAACUACGUGCCAGCAGCCGCCGUA